GGUAACAAAGAAAUGUCAUAUCUAAAGGUAAUUUAAACAAAAAUAUUACCUAAUCAUAUGAGAGUGAUCACUUCCCAAAUUCUCAAGCAUUCACAACUUCAUUGACCUUUUUUCUCUUUUUCUAAUUGUUACACCAUUGCACAUAAUUUAUUUGCUAUUUUUUUUUCUUUUUCAAUACUUUUUCUUUUUCUUUUCUUUUUCACUAUUCUCUUUAUUUUUCCAAUUUUUUAUUUUUCUUUCUCGACCUCUUAGCAACCAACAUUUUCUCCCCAACUUAAAUGCAACCAAUUAUUGUGAUGUGAAUGCUCCCAAACUUUCUACGGCAAGAGUAAAAAUUCAAAUCACAAUUUAUGGUUGAGGGUUCAAGAAAAAAGUUUAAAAUCCAAUUUAAAAUCAACAAUGAACUAAUUAGUUAUAUACAAGUUUCAAAAGUUAACAUCAAAAUGGAUCCUGG
rnacentral:lncRNA from 1 species